GCCAACAUGGUGUAGUGGAUUGAACAUUAGACUACAACUCUGGAGACCAGGGUUCAAAUCCUCUCUUGGCC